UACGGAGGGUGCAAGCGUUAUCCGGAUUCACUGGGUUUAAAGGGUGCGUAGGCGGACACUUAAGUCCGUGGUGAAAUCUCUGGGCUUAACCCAGAAACUGCCAUGGAUACUAUUUGUCUUGAAUGUUGUGGAGGUUAGCGGAAUAUGUCAUGUAGCGGUGAAAUGCAUAGAUAUGACAUAGAACACCAAUUGCGAAGGCAGCUGGCUACACAAAUAUUGACGCUCAUGCACGAGAGCGUGGGGAGCAAACAGG
rnacentral:rRNA from 1 species